rnacentral:misc_RNA from 1 species
UCCUUUUGUUGAUUUGAAUUUGCAACUUCUCCAUGAAAAUUACCUUCUCUACCAUGUAAUCUCUCCAAAUUCACCCUAUUAUCCUCAGACAAUGCUGCCAAGGAUGCAUGGGCACAUGCUGCAGCAACUCUUGGUCCAACAGCAGAGGCCAGAAAAGCAACCAACGACAUAACUGGAUUCCCUGAAUUUGCAAAAGGAAUCCUGCUUUCAGCAUCAGCAUCUUGGAGGCAGGAUCCUGGCAGAUCACCAUUUGAUCGCAUAUGUAUUCUUCCAUGAUCAUCUCUACUUGAUAAAUUAGGUGACUUAGACAUGCUUGGUACUUCGAUAUUUUCCAACAGGCCAUCCUCCAUGGGUAGACGAAGAAAAUGAAGAAUGCACUGUGAUUUUGACUUUGUUCCAACAUGUUCUGCAAUUUCAUUCCAAUUUUCAUUGUAAACCUCCAUUGCCUCGAGCAGCAAUAAUGUUUCUUGAUCACUCCAACUCUCUCCAUCUAAAUCACCAUAAUCUUUUGUUGGAUCCAUCUUUAUAAAAUCCAGGCUUGAAUGAUUGGUCACAAACCUCCCUUCAUGGAAGCAGUCAGAACAUAGUAGUACAUCAAUCUCCUUCUGUGACUGAUGGUAUACACCAGGAAGAGGCUGAGAACAAUAAGUGCAACGAUUUUCAGAAAGGCGCUCUCGAAUUUUGUUGUCCAAGUCAGAGAAUUCAUCAUCAUGACAUGACAAUGAUGAAUAAACGUCAGCUGCCUUGAGCCUACAUUUGGGCUUGUCAAAUUUGAUCAAACUAUCAAU